GGCCUUUUGGGGAUUUAUAUAAAAGGUUGGGCCUGCCCGGUGAUCUGAAAUGGUUUAACGGCUGCGAUUGAAACCGNUACUAAGGUAGCAUAAUAAUUUGCCCUUUAAUUGGGGGAGAGAAUGAAUGGUUUGACGGUAAAAAAGCUGUUUUAAAAAUAAAAAAAGAAGUUAACUUUUAAGUGAAAAGGCUUAAGUUUUUAUAAAAGACGAGAAGACCCCGUCGAGCUUAAUUAGAAUAACUUAAAUGUAGGUUAUUUAAAAUUUUAUUGGGGCAAUAGAAAAUGAAAUGAAUCAUUUUUUUUAUUAUAAGGAUCCAGUUUUGACUGAAAAAAGCAAAAGCUACCGCGGGGAUAACAGGGUAAUUUUUUCUGAGAGUUCAUAUUUAAGAAGAAGUUUGCUACCUCGAUGUUGGAUUAGAAUUUCUUUAUGCUUGCAGCAGGUAUAAUAGUAGGACUGUUCGUCCUUUAAAAUUUU
rnacentral:rRNA from 1 species